UUUUUUUUUUUUUUAAUCAGACUUUAAGUGGUUCCUUACUUUCUUGAUAGCUCCUUGGUGCAUUCAAAGGGAUGUUUUUAAUAUUAUUCAGCUGUCUUCAUUGUAUCCUACCAGAGACUCAUUCCUUGACUUUUUUAAAGUCCUGAUCAAUACCCAUGGAAUUGAUUUUACCAUCCAUAGUUUGAAAGACACUGUUCCAGGGUAACUACUAAGAGUAACCAUGGCAAGUAUAACUUCCAAAGAAAAAAAAAAGUUCAGAAAAAUAAAAUCAACCAAUCCAAGAAGUGAGAAAUGAGAAAUAAAAAGAAAGAGAGAAACUGACAAAAUACAUAGAAAUCACAAAAUAAGAUAGUAGAAAUAAUUAUAAAUGUCAUUAAUGACAAUAAAUAUAAGUAGACUGGACUCUCUAAUAUAUUAUUGCCAGACUGGAUUAUUUUUAAAUCUAGGUAUGUGACGUUUACAACAACAUAUCAAAAACAUAAACACAUACAGAAAGUUGGAAAAUCAAAGAAUGAAAGAGAAGUUAGGAAAAACUAACCAAAAGAAAGCUGUUAUAACUGCAUUAAUAUCAGAUAAAAUAAAUUUUAAAGCCAAAAGCAAUACUAGAGAUUUUAAAAGGCCACUUUCUAUGAUCAAGUGGUCAAUUCACCAGAAAAAUCAAUGCUAUACUGGUAUGCAUGUAAUAACAUGAAUGCAAAGUAUAUAAGCAAAAAUUGAUAGACCUAUGAGUGAUCCUCAUCAUAGUAGGAAAUUUAAUAUAUCUGCUUGGUAAUGAACUGAUCAAGCAAGAUCAGGUAAGUGAGGAAAAAUCUGAAAUACUUAAAGAACACUAUCAACAUGUCAGUUCUAAUGAACACAAAACUCAGACAUAAAGUAAUACGUGUGAUUUUCUCGCACAUAGGAGAUAUUAACAGAAACUCAUUCUGUGCCAGAUUGUUAAUAAAUCACAAAUAUCAUGCAUCCAAUCACAUUUUUUUGAUAAAAAGGCAACUAUUAGAAAUUAAUGAUAAAAUAAUUAGAAAGUCCAUUCAUUUAGGAAUUUAAAAACAGUCUUCUGAAUGAAAGCAUAAUGGAAAUUAGAAAUUUUGUUCCACUGAAUGGAACAAAAAUGAGAUAUAUAUACACUUUAAAGAUGCAAAUAAAAUGACAAAGGAAAAUGUAUAGCCUCAGAUAGUUACAUUAGGAAACAAAGGCCCCAAAUUAAUAAAUCUACUUCUAAAUUAAAAAGUCAGGAAAAAAAAGCAGUUUAAGUCCCAAAAAGGUAUAAAGAAGAGAAUAAUAAAUGUAAGAAAUUUUCCCUAAAACAUAAAGUAAGGUAUAGUAUAGAGAAUCAAGGAAUCAAAUAUAUGGCUACCAGAAAAGAAUAAUUCAACAGACAAACCUUUUAAAAAGUCAGUCAAGCAAACAGAGGAAGAAGGCAUCAAUAAAGAACAUACUGAUUGAAAUAUUUUAUAAUGACAUAACUGAAGACACAGUGCAGAUUAACAGGAUAGGAAAUAUAUCUUAAGCACAAUUUAUGCCAGUACCAUCCCUGGAAAGCACAAGUUAUCAAAACUACUCCAAAAAGAAAUAGAAAAUAAAAGUAUAUUCUACAGUUUAUUAAUCAAAUUGAAUCAGAGCUUAAAAAUUAAUCAUUCAUACACACACAUGUGCAUAUAUCACUAGGCCAACAUUAGGUCAUUUUUACCAAACAUUCAAUAAACAUAAAUUCCAAUUUUAUACAAACUUUUUUAAAUGAUAGGAAAAAAGAAGCAUGCCCCAAUUCAUGUUAAUACCAAAGUAAUGACAAAAUCAGGAAAGGACACCAAAAAAAGCUAAAAUUAUGGGGAAUGUCACUCAUUAAAAUAGAUCUAUCAGCAUAUUUUCAGUUUAGUGGAGAAAAAAAACAUGAUUUUUUCCAAAGAUGCAGAUAUAUCAUUAAAUAAGACAACAUCUAUUUAUAAUGAAAAAUUACUUGACAAAUUAGUAAUGAAAAGGGAAUAUCAAUAUCCUGAUAAAGGACAUAUGCAAAAUUACACAGGGAGUAACAGUUAAUGGUAAAAUGUUUAAAGAUGUCCUUUACUAUCAGGAGCAAGGUAACUUGCAAACCAUUGUUGCUUUUAUUCAGUAUUGCAAAAUUAAAUUUUAAGAAAAUUAAAGCCC
rnacentral:lncRNA from 1 species